AAAUUGAAGAGUUUGAUCAUGGCUCAGAUUGAACGCUGGCGGCAGGCCUAACACAUGCAAGUCGAACGGUAACAGGAAGCAGCUUGCUGCUUUGCUGACGAGUGGCGGACGGGUGAGUAAUGUCUGGGAAACUGCCUGAUGGAGGGGGAUAACUACUGGAAACGGUGGCUAAUACCGCAUAACGUCGCAAGACCAAAGAGGGGGACCUUCAGGCCUCUUGCCAUCAGAUGUGCCCAGAU
rnacentral:rRNA from 1 species